UGGGGAAUAUUGCACAAUGGGCGCAAGCCUGAUGCAGCCAUGCCGCGUGUGUGAAGAAGGCCUUCGGGUUGUAAAGCACUUUCAGCGGGGAGGAAGGCGAUAAGGUUAAUAACCUUGUCGAUUGACGUUACCCGCAGAAGAAGCACCGGCUAACUCCGUGCCAGCAGCCGCGGUAAUACGGAGGGUGCAAGCGUUAAUCGGAAUUACUGGGCGUAAAGCGCACGCAGGCGGUCUGUCAAGUCGGAUGUGAAAUCCCCGGGCUUAACCUGGGAACUGCAUUCGAAACUGGCAGGCUAGAGUCUUGUAGAGGGGGGUAGAAUUCCAGGUGUAGCGGUGAAAUGCGUAGAGAUCUGGAGGAAUACCGGUGGCGAAGGCGGCCCCCUGGACAAAGGCUGACGCUCAGGUGCGAAAGCGUGGGGAGCAAACAGG
rnacentral:rRNA from 1 species